AAGCAGGCAUCAAAUGAUGAUGGUAAUAUGGCUAUUAACUAUCUCUGACUCAAUAAACUUAAAGGAAAAAAUGACAUGUGAAGUAUUUUUGUAGAAACUAAAAUACAGUGGUGGAAAUGUGCGUGUGAGAGAGAGAAAUAGCCUAAGUGAAUGUCUUAAAGUGCACCCUCUAAUACAUAUAUAUAUGUAUGUAUGGGUGUGCCCACACUCAUAUAAACAUGUAUAUAUAAUUUAUUUUUAAUGUAAACUUUAAAGGACUAGAUACCUCGUAAAUCUUAAAAUAACAUAUUUUCAAAGAAACCUGGGUCACUGGAGUUUUGAUUUUUAAGUUAAGCAUGAGGCUAGGUGUUUUGAAAAAUAGGGGGUUAGUUGACAUUAUUGUCAUCCUCUUCCUCAGUACUUGACUAGUAUUUUGUUAUCACCCUAGAACAAUGAAAGGCAAAAUUGACCUUGGUGGAAUUUGAACUUGGAACCAAGGGACAGGAUGUAAUGAAAUGCUGCAAAGUAUUUUGUCUGCUGCUCUAUGAGUCUACCUUUUAUAUAAUUAAUGUAACCCAUCUUUAAUCACUUGGUUUCUGAUAAGGACACAAACUUCAGAAAGGUGGAGACCUUAUUUCAUCACAUAUGGAAGGAUUAAGACCAAAGCUGACCUUGGUGAAAUUUUAAUUCAAAAUGUAAAUGGAAAAGACUAAAUAUAGCUUUUACUAAUUCUAAAAAGAAAAAAAAAAGACAUCAUCCUACCUCUAUAAUAAUAAAGGGAUAAGGCCUCAUUUGGAGGAGAAAGAGUCAAUUAAACAGCCCUACCACAGCCAUUUCAUUAUAUGUAUGCUGAUGUGCAGGAUAUGACGGUAUUGUUUAAGUGGUAGUGAUGUUAAACCAGAUCAAGAGUGGAUGCUGCCACUAAAGAGCUGCUGCUGCUGCCUAUCUGAUGUAUUAGUAUACAAUUUCUCCAACAAGGCUUGAGUUGAAGCAAGAUGCCAUGGGAUCAAACCACAUGAUUAUGUGACAAACAUCUUAUCCACACAGCCAUGUAUAGAUGUGUGCCUACAGAGAUAUUUGUGUAUGGAUAUAUGUAUGUGUGUGUGUCUGUGUGUAUAUAUAUAUACACACACACACACACAUAUAUAUAUAUAUAUAUAUAUAUACACAGAAAUAAAUUUUUUUUAUUCUCAAACACGUGAUAAUGCUAAUAAAAUAGCGUGAACAGGAUAAAAUAUCCAUACAUUGCAGAAAAAUACAUUACCAGCCAGCCAGCCAUGAGACUCAAACUCAUAUCCCUGUGCUUUACCAUUAAGCUAAACUGCCUAGUAACGAAUUCUUCUGCAAUUUUAGAACAUAUAAAUUUAGCUUUAUAAGAUGAGCAUUAGCAUCUUAUGAAGCUAAAUUUAUAAGUUCUAAAAUUGCAGAAUUCACUCCUGGGCAGUUUAGCUUAAUGGUAAAGCACUUGAUGCAUAAUCACAGGGAUGUGAGUUUGAGUCUCAUGGCUGGCCGAUAACAUAUUUUUCUGCAAUGUAUGGAUAAUUUAUCCUGUUUACGCUAUUUUAUUAGCAUUAUCAUGCAUUUGAGAAUAAAAAAAAUUUUUUUCUGUAUCUUUCAAUACAUCUCAACACUUCUAAAACAAACUAUAUAUAUAUGCACACAUCUGCAUACAAGUGUGUGUGUGUGUGUGUGCACAUCUACAAGGUGUCCCCCCAAAAUGCAUAUACACUUUAAGCACUGAUAACUCAAUUUUCAUUCCAUUUUAGAUUUAGUCCAGAAUAAAUAAUGGAGGAAGCUAGACUAAGCUUUGAACAAAGGACAUUUAACCUAAAGUGCUACUGGAAAUUUAAAAGGGCAAAAAUAGUUUAAGAGGGAGUUUCAAACAGACUAACCAACGCGAUUACAAUACCUUCAUAUUAGAUGUGUUUGAAAGCAGAUGAAACUGUUCAGAAGAUUCACUAAGAACAUUCUAGAAGACUGCAAACACCAAUAAUCCCCACAAAACAAGGAAAGAUACUAGAAGCAUUGCCAGAAUUUUAAAAAAAUCUGUGCAGCAAGUGAGUUGUGACAAAGGAAUUUUAAAAUCAAGCAUCCAUUGCAUUUUGAAGUGCUGUCAUGGGACAAGUUACAAUUCAAGAAAAGCCCAUGCUCUCAAUGAAGAUGAUCUGGACAGAAUAGAGUUUUCCAAGUGACACUUGAAAAAGUGCUCACUUUCCAGCAAAGUUUGUUUGGAGUGGCUGCAGGGGAAAUACAUAGCCAAAGAUAAACCUCUGUACUUGGCUUUUGUUGACUUGGAGAAAGCCUUAUCUGGUGAUCAAUGCAAAAACUGGGGAUAGACGAGUGGUUAGAGCUGUACAUGCCAUGUACAGGGACACUAUCAGUAAGGUGGGGAUUAGCAAUGAGUACAGUGAGGAAUUCAGGGUGCAGGUAGGGGCUCACCAAGGAUCAGUCCUCAGCCCCACCUUGUUCAUCAUAGUCCUCCAGGCAGUAAGAAAGGAAUUUCAGAGAGACUACCCCUGGGAGCUCCUCUAUGCUGAUGACCUUGUUUUUAUAGCCAGAUCACUACCAGAACUACAAAAGUUUCAGGUAUGGAAGCAGGGUCUAGAAUCAAAGAGCCUUGGAGUUAACCUAGCAAAAACCAAAGUUUUAGUAAGUAGGAAGGCAGAGAAAUCACAAAUCCCUUCAGGUAGGUGGCCUGCUCAAUCUGUAGAAAAGGCAUAGGAAGAAACUCUAUGAGAUGUACCUGGUGUAAGAUAUGGACACAAGAAGAGCAGCAAUAUCAAAAGAAGGUUAACAGAUAAAAUAGCUUUUGUGUGUGGAAGAUGCACAGGUAUAAUAAACACUGAGAAUGUACAGAAAAUAGACUCCAUCCACUGCCAGUGGGGUAAGCUAGAAGUAGUAGAUAGAUUCCAUUACCUAGGUGACCAACUUAACACGGAGGUAGAUGCUCCAAGAGCAUAGCUGUGAGAAGAAGAAUAGGCUAGGCAAAGUUCAGAGAUCUACCUCUGCUAGCAACAAAGGGCCUCCCAGCUCAGAGUAAAAGGCAGAUUGUGUGAUGCCUGUGUGCAAACAGCUAUACUACGCGGCAGUGAAAUAUGGGCUGUGACAGCCAAGGAAAUGUGUAGGCUUGAGGGAAAUGAAGCCAGCAUGUUUCACUGGAGAUGCAAUAUCAGUGUGCAUGUUUGACAGAGUGUAAGCAUCUUUAGAAAAAAGUUGGGCAUAAGAGGCAUCAGAUGUGGUAUGCAAGAGAGAUGACUGCACUGGUAUGGUCAUGUGAUGCAUCUGGACGAGGAUAGCUGUGUAAAGAAGUGCUGAUUUAUAAUUAUGAAGAGAACCCGUAGUAGCGGUAGACCCAGAAACUUUGAGCUUCACAGAGGCAACAACUAGUGACCAAGACCUUUGACGAUAUACUGUGCUUGAGAAGACUUGCCAAGCCAAGUGAAAUCAUUAUGGUCAAUGUUGGUGUUGUACAAUUGGCACCUUUGCCAGUGACACAAAAAGUGCCUUUUAAGUGUUGGCCUCACAGAGGCAAAGUGGUCGAUGCUGGUGGCAUGUGAAAAACUCCUUUCAAGUGUCAGGUGUCACAGAGGCAAUGACGAAUGACCGAGACCUUUGGCAUUAUAUCAUGCUUGAGAAGAAAACCCAUCAAGCCAAGUAAAAUCACAGUUAUGGCAUAUAUUGGUGUCACACAAAUGGCACCUGAGCCAGAGGCAUGUAAAAAAUGUGCCUGUUACAAUCUUGGAGUGGUUGACUCCAGCCAUAGAAACCAUGCCAAAUCAGGUUGGAGUCUGGUGCAGCCUUCCAGCUUGCCAGUCCUGGUUAAACCAUCCAACCCAUGCCAGCAUGGACAACAGGUCAUCAUCAUAUUCAUCAUUUAACAUCCAUUUUCCAUAUAUAUAUAUAUAUAUAUAUAUAUAUAUAUCAAUUUUAUGAGUAGAUGUACAUAAAUAUACUGCAGGUAAUGAACUACAGAGAUAUACUGGAAAUAUCAAAGAAGUUGGAGAUAUUUUUCUCCAAAGACGAUGGCCAAUGUUUGGCAUUGAGAACUAAACAAAUCCCUCAAGUUGAAACUGUUGCUUUAUACUAAAUGUCCCAUUAUUUCUAUACAGAAAUAGAACCAGGUACUGUAAUAUAAAGUUCAAAGGACCAUAGCUUUCCUUCAGCUAAAAAGGAAGUCGUUUUUGUAUUGACAUCCAUCACCUGAGUAGUUGUGAAGAUAUUCAACCAACAAACAGACAUUUUCUAUGUUAUAUCUCAAGACAACAGUAACCUCAAACAUUGUUGUUCACUAAAUACCAUCUCGUAAACAAAAGCUGUUGGAAUAUUAAUGAUGAUGCUCCAGCAUGAUCCCAGGUUGAAAGUAGUAAACAUAUGUACAUGCACAUAUUUAUAUGCAAACCUUAACACAUAUACAUAUGUAUAUGGGUAUAUAUAUAGAGUGCAAAGGAUAUUUAAGCGCAGUUAUCAGUAUAUUACUCUCUUCAAACCAGGUAAAAGGUUUUUAUUUUAAUCAGAUCUCUCAUGGUAAGUAAAAUGCUAAUGAAAAGACAUGCAGUCAUUAUUGUUAUGUGUGCAGAAAACAGUGAUUCAGAAAUGGCCAACUGGAUGCUUUUAGUGAGGUCACGAUGCAAGCUGCAUGACUACAAACCCCAAGAGAAGCAGCUUCAUGCAAGGAAAUGAAAGGUUAAAGCAUAAUGGUGGGCUGAAAAGUUCAUAGGCUGACUAUGAAGGAGUGACACUAGAGCUGUGAAAUCUUGUAGGCAUUAAUUUCAACUCUUCCAAUUGAUAAUUACAUUGUUAUUCUUUAGGUAAACUGUGCUGUUCAAAGAAGAUUGUCAUGUGAAGGAGGGAAAACAAAGAAUUGCAGUAGUUUUACCUGUCAAUGUGGCAGGGUCACUCACAACGUCCACAUGCUGUCUCAAUCUGGAAGGUUCACUUACAACGUCCAUGUGCUCUAUCUGCCAUUGUACGGUCUAACAUAUCUGCUCUCAUACGCUGUCCACCGCCAACUGACUGCUCACCUCGCCUCCCCCCACACACACACCUGCAUGCCCACCACAGCCUUUCCAGUGGGACCCACAGGCCCUGCUUACAAGAGAACAUGCAUACUCCUUCACUUCCGGUCCUUUCCAACAACACAGCCUGGCUCAUAACACCACAUGCCCCCUUGAUCUGAAGAUCAUUCAACCAACCUACCCACACCCUCUCCUCAACCCUGACCACAUACCUUAACUUGUCUCAUAAUCAGCCAACCAGUAAGGAGGGCCAUGCUCCUUCUGCGUCUGCCAUAGGACUUCAGGACUGGCCUCAGUUCCUGGCAUGUUGCUGCCGGCUUCGUCCUCUUGUCUAUUACUGUUGGCUCCAUCCUCCAUCUCAGUGAUGAUCCUGCGCAGAUCCAAAAUAUGUGGCAUGACAUCUACGGACACAAUGUUCCUUGAAUUUACAGAGGUUAUUGUCCCCUUUCCCCAUUGUCAUGUGCACUGCGCAUUUGGGGGUUUAACCCAAACUUCUUCCCCGACCUGCACAAUGGCAUGUCUCUUCUGCAGGUUGCAGCGAUGCAGUACAUAGAUGUCUCCACUCAUACUUGAAUAUUGCCUUGUGUCACACUGACUCCUCAGCCUUUCCUGACUUGAGCGACAUAUAAUACCAAAAAAUGGCCUCGACAAGUGAGAUGUGGCCCCUCUCUGCUAUGGUCUUGAUAGUGCGAUGAUACCUCACCACAACCCCAUUGCCACUUGGUCAGUAUGCCACCCAGAAGAGACGGCUAACAUGCCAUUUGUUGAGCAUUUCCCCCAGUACCUCCAAGCAAAAUGCAGUGCCAUUGUCCACAAGCAGCUCAUUCAUGGGGCCUCAUUCUAGGAAUAUCUAAUUUAGUAUUCUUGUGAUUUCUGCAGUCCCUGUCUUCAUCUCCCUCAAUAUGGCAACCACCCCAGUCUGCAGUCAACCAUCAAGAGGUAUGCCCCCUACCAGUAGUGUAUCACAUCCACUGCCAGUCGUUUCCAGUUGUGUUCCACUGGAAUGCUUCCUACCUCAUGCAUGCCCUGAGCGGAGUCAAUGCUCCCAACUACUCUCUGCCUGGUCACGUCAGAGUCAAAUUUCCUGGCUAGGAACAGGGUCCUAUCCACCCCCAUGUGAUGCAUGGUAUGCAGUCUCCUCAGCUCUGAGUCACUCAGUUGACACACUGCAGCCACUCCUUGCUCCAGAUCCUCCAGCACCUGCAAUCAGGCUUUAUUUACUCUGGUCAGGGCAUCCGCUCUAUUCCUUUCAGAGGGCACAAAAACCACACUCAGCCUCAGGUCAAACUCGGCAGCUAGCUCAUCCACGAUUCCCAAGCAGCAUAUUAUCAGCAUCUCUGCACCCCUCUUUGGUUUGCACCCUCCUCUCGCCAGUGACCACUGAUCCCACCCAUCUAAGUACAGUGGCUGAAUCAGUCCAGAUCUCGAUGGUACACAGCCCCUACCUCAGGGCCAGAUUCAGUCCCUUCAACAUGGCAUCCAGCCCAGGCAUAUUGAUGUGGUUGCAGUCAUCCUUCUUCCUGAGCCAGGCUGCAUUCUCCACCACAAUACCUUCAAUUUCCAGAACAACUCCCAUUGCUAUGCUGCUGGCAUCAUAUCACACGAUACCAUUCUUCAAUUUGGGCACAUACCAGUUUCCUCUUACUGGGUCCACUGCUGUCACUCUCUCUAAAGACUUUUUGCAUCAUGGCAAUUGUCUUCUUGCCCACAUUGUCACUCCACCUCAUUCCUCCAGCUCACCUCUUGAUGAAGCUGCAUGCCAUCCUGCAAUUGGGUAGUGUCCCAGCAGCUUCCCACACACAGAAAACAGUUCUUGCCUACUUUUCUUGGAGCCCAGUUCUGGGAUUUCAUUUCCUCUCCGAAACACCAAUGUGCCAGCCUUGUCUCUCUGUAGCUUGAGUCCCAAUGCAGCUCCUAUCGCCUCCAGCAGUUUGGCAGUUAGCCCAAAACUCUUCAAGUGACUUAUGGCCUCCUUUGCUGACGCUAUGCUUUCAUCCACCAGGAUGUCAUCAAUAUAGGAAUUGAUGGCUCUUUUCACUUUGUCUGCCUUUCCCAGGAUGGUUCUGAGAAUCAUCGCCAAUCUUCAAUGCUGAAUUUACCUUGAAUCCCAACCUGGUCAGGCAGUAUGUCUGACCCUUAUACCUUACAAACUGAUAUUUCCACAGUCAUUCAACCACCUCCAAAGUUAAGCAGCCCAUGUCUACAAGGGCUUGAGACACUUUUCCAUUCAUCAUGACAUUUAUGACUGGCAACAACUGUAUACAAGCCCCCUUGCAGUCUCUCACCAUGUGUGAACCCUGACACCCUUUGAACGGUCACACAUGUUCCUUGUUUGACUCCUUCUCAUUGUUGCAGUUGCUGGUAAAGGUGUCAUCCUGCAACACAAGAUGAUGACUCUGGCCUGAGAUAUUACCUCUCCCAUUGCCAUGGAGUGAAUAUUCGGCAGCUUUUGCAGUUCGACCGACCCGUGAUCAGGAAAUCUUGUCACAAAUGCUAAUGUAACUGUUUGUUCCAAUGUGUCAUCCCUGUAUCCCACAAAUCUGGCCAAUCUCCUGAUUUCGUUGGCAAACACAUCAACCAGUUCACUCAUCCACUUCGCUUUCCCCAGUCGACUAUAUACCAUAAAUGACCCUUCUGUAAUAGCCUCCAUCAGCCAGACCUCUUUUUUUUGUGUGUGUUUAACUGGUCCUUCUCCUUCAUUUCCAGGUAUAGCACCAAUGCUGAUCCAUCGAGGUACAAUGGUAUGAAACUCAUUAGGUCAUCUAUACCAUGGAGUCUUGCCACCAAAUUAAUUUUUUGCAACCAAGUGGCAAAUGUCUCCCUUGCUACAAAAUGACCUAACCGUUUCAUUUGAAACACAAACCACACCCAUCAUUUUUUGUGUUUUUUAGUGGUUUUUUUUUGAGCUGAAAUAGCUUGUGAUGUGAAGGAGGAAAAAGACAGAAGCAAAGAGAGAAUUGCGGUAGUCUAACUUGCCCAUCUGGAAGGGUCACUCACAACGUCCACAUGCUCUGUCUCGAUCUAGAAGGUUCACUCACAACAUCCACGUGGUCCAUCAGCCGCUGUACUGUCUAACACAUCUGCUCUCAUACACUGUCCACUGCCAACUGACUGCUCGUGCCUCGCUGACCCUACAUUCUCACCACAACUCUUCCGGUGGGACCCACAGAUCCCACUUCCAACAAGACUUCUAGUCCUUCCCUACAACACAGCCUGGUUCAUAACAUCACAAAGAUUUCAAAACUAACUAGUAGCAACUUAUCUUGAAAGUGGACAGAAUUUGCCACCAUUGUGUUAUCAAAUACCUGCAGAAAAAGGGUUUAGCCUUUCCUCCCUCACCAAGGACAUUCAUGCUGACAUGGUCACUACAUUAGAGGAUGAUGUUUCAGCUUCAUCAACAGUGCAAAAGAAGGCAGCUGAAUUUAGGAAGGGAAGGGAAAGUUUUGAAGAUGACCCAAGGUCUGGAUGUCCUGCAACUGCCACCAUUGUGGUGAUGGAUGGCAGGCAAUUGACUAGAAAUCAAACAGCCAAUGCUAUUGGUACAUCCCACGAGAGAGUUGAGAAUAUUCUGCACAAUGAAGUUGUUUCUACUUAGUGGGUGCCACAUCUUCUGACACCUGAUCAAAAGCACACCAAGCUCAUCACAUUACAGGAAAAUCUUAUAUUGUUUGAACCAGAUCCAGCUGGUUUCCUUGAAUGUUUCCUAAGCCAGGAUGAGUGUCAGGUUCAUCACUUUGAGCUAGAGACAAUCCAUGCAAUGGAAAUGCCUCUCUUCACCUGCUCCAAAGAAGGCCAAAGUCGUUUCAUCUGCAGGGAAGGUGAUAGCCUCAUUUUUUGGGGGAUGCAAAAGGCAUUGUGUUUAUUGAAUAUCUUCAAAAGGGCUACACCAUCAAUGGAGAGGCCUAUGCCAAGUUGCUGAGGCAAUUAUGAAAAGCUAUCAAGGCCAAAUGCCCAGGAAAACUGUUGAAAGGGGUCUUGUUUCAUCAGGACAAUGCUCCAGUACACAAGUCCUAGCUUUCAAUGGUUGCUGUGCCUGACUGUGGUUUUGAACUGGUUGAUUACACUCCUUAUUCUCUUGAUUUGGUCUCAUCUGACUAUCAUCUGUUCCCCAACAUGAAAAAACACUUGGCUGGGAACAUGUAUAAUUAUGUCAUUUCUACUGCUGAUGACAGUUUUGACCAAUAGGAUGAAAGUUUCUUUAUCAAAGGUAUCUAAGCACAGCAACACCAGUGGAAGAAGUGUGUGGACCACAAGGAUGGGGGGUGUAUUGAAAAAUAAACCUCAUUUGUCGCAUUCCAUGCGAGUAUCAUGUUACUAGUUACUUGUGAAGUCUUCUUUGAACAGUCAGAUGUCAGUUUAGCUGGAAAGAAACAAUGCAGUUAUUAAUAAGAAAACCUGAAAUUAAUGCAUGCAAGAUUUCACAGCUCUAGCUUCACUCCUUUUUGGUCAGCCUAUGAACUUUUCAGCCCUUUGCUCCACAUUACCAUCAUUAUCAUUGAUUCAAAAUUCACCUUACCACACAGAAUUUUGCUGAGGCAGAUUUUCUAUGAUCAGGUGCUCUUUCUGUUGCCAAGCCUCAUGUUUCUAGACAAGGUAAAUAUUUCACAGCUGAUUGGAAAUAAACACUAGUUGCAUGAUGAAGAUAUUCAUUUACAACUAUCAUGUGAUGUCAAGGUAAGGACACAGUAACACACACAAUGAGCUUCUUUCAGUUUCUGUCUACCAAAUCCAUUCACAAAGCUUUGGUCAGCCUAGUGUUAUGGUAAAAGACGUUUGUCCAAUGUAGCCACAUAAUGGGAUUGAAGCUAAAACCAUGUUGUUGGGAAGUAAACCUUUAGCAGCCUAUGUACCUGCCCCAUAACACAUAUAUCUUUUACUUUUUAUCUUUCAUGUUUCAGUCAUUACACUGCUGACAUGCUGGAUACCAUCUUGAAGAGUUGUUUUUUAGUGGAACAAAUUGACCUUGUACUUAUUCAUAAUCCUGGUACUUAUUCUAUAUAUAUAUAUCAUCAUUGUUAUUUAACAUCUGCUUUCUGUGCUGGCAUGAGUUAGAUGGUUUAAUUGAGAGCUAGCAGGCCAGGAGGCUGCACCAGGCUCCAGUCUGAUUUGGCAAGAUUUCUACAGCUGGAUGCACUUCCUAUCACCAACCACUCCAACAGUGUAGUGGGUGCUUUUUACAUGCCACCAGCUUGGGAGCCAGUCAGGCAGCACUGGCAUCGGCCAUGCUCAAAUGGUGCUUUUCAUGUUCUGCUGGCACGGGUGCCAGUCAGGUGGCAGUGGCAUCAGUCAGGCUUGAAUGGUGCUUUUUACAUGCCACUGGUAUCAGCCAUGCUCGAAUGGUGCUUCUUACGUGCCACAAGCACAGCUGCAAGUUAGCUGUCACUGGCAUUGGCCAUGACUACAAUUUCACUUGGUUUAACAGGUCUUCACAAGCACGGCAUAUCAGCCAACAAUUGAAGGGUGCUUUUAAAUGGGCCAGUUAUGUGACACUGGUAUCAGCCGACGGGCUUCUUUCACUUUCCAUUUACCAAAUUUACUCACAAGGUUUCGGCUGGUCUGAGGCUAUAGUAGACAACAUUUACCCAAGGUGCCACCCAGUGGGACUAACCCCAGACCCCAGAACUAUGUGGUUGGAAAUCAAAUUGCUUAUUGCACACACACACAUAUAUAUAUACACAUGUAAGUAUAUAAGUAGGUAGGUAAUUGUGUAGAAGUGCCUUUGCAGUUCCAAACAGGAGAAAAAUGUUCUUGAACAACAAUUUGACAGGUUAACUGUAAGGUUAGGAAUGUAGUAUAUAGCUUACAAUGUACUGAGGGACUGUGAAGAAACAUGACAACUACCUACAUAGGAGAGCAUAUAGGUGAAUAUUGGCGAGAGCUCAAAGACGGGUAAAGCUCAUCAGUGCUCCACCAACAUGCACAGGAAGAACAUGGAGGCUUGAUUAAUAGCGUAGAGGUUAAAGUACUAUCAACACAUAGAACUGAAACAACACUUAGACAGAUUACCAAAACCACACACAUAACAGUAGAUAGACCAAACCUCAAGAGAAAAUAUAAAUGGAACAAUAACACCCACCACCACACCACAUGACUAAAGAUAGUAGGGAUGUGAAGAGAGAGGGAAAGGGAAAAAAACUUCAAAUAAUACACAUACAUACAGAGUAUGUACACACAAUAGACAUAUAUGCACUUACCUGUGAUACUUAUGAGAAACGGAGAUAGAUGUAUAUUUUUAAAAAUAAGUAAAUGAAAAUAUUUCUGCCACAAGCCUGUGAUAAAUGUUAGACAGAUAUAGAUAUAAAUAAAUAAAACUAUAUAAAGGGCAUGGAUACAUACGAAGCAAACCUAUACACACACAUGAAACCUCAUGGACAGCCAUAUGAUGUCAACAACACAAUUAACAUGAUCAGCAGCAGCAGUGCCAAUGAGGGCAAUAACAACAACUACCAUAAUAGCAACACCAUGGACAAACACACAUAUACAGAGGAACACAGGAACUGUACGUUUCUUUUUUUUCCUUUUCUUGGGUCUUAGGACAGCAGCAGCACAAUGGGGUGAGAGGCUGGGACUGAGGGGAAGGCCACACUACUGCUAAAAACUAUACAUGCACACACACAAAUGCAGUGUAAUUUGAACUCAUAACAUAGCGACAUGAAAUAUUGCUAAGCAUUUUGCCUGGCAUGCUAACAAUUCUGCCAGCUUGCCACUUUAUAAUAAUAAUAAUGGUUACAAACUUUGCCACAAGGGCAGCAAUUUUGGGAGAGGGGCUGAGUCAAUUCCAGUGUUCAGCUGGUAUUUAUUCUAUCGACCCCAAAAGGUAAACUCGACCAUGGCAGAAUUUGAACUCAGAAUGUAGUGACAGGUGAAAUACCACUUAACAUUUCCUCUUGCAGUCUAACGAUUCUGCCAGCUUACUUGCCUUUAUAAUAAUAAUAACUUUUGGACUUUUACAACUGGCAAUAACAAUGAAGAUUGCUACAAUUGGCCUAGACACCUACCUGAAAAACUCUGAGGACUGGAUGUUAAAACUUGUCUCAAAACAUGAAAACAAGAAAGCAUCAUACUCAGUAACAAAACAGGCAAAGGAAUAUCUAAGUGAAUUCCGAAUACAACAAAUUUCGGAAUUAGACAUACAAGAAACAAGCACAGAAAAAGCUAAGCGCAUGAAAACCCAUGCUAAAACUGCUGCCUUAGAUAUUCUGAAUGAUAAAUGGCAAAUACCCAAAGAGAGUGAAUAAUGCAGAUGUUGACAAAGCCCUGACCCAUCAAUGGCUAAUGGCCUCUGGCUUAAAAUCUGAAACAGAAGGGUUUAUCAUAGCAGCUCAAGAUCAAUGCCUACCUACAAGGAACUACCAGGCCACCAACAUGUCGUGUAUGUCAACAACAAAAUGAAAUCAUUGAUCAUGUCUCCAAGUGCAGUCUUCUUGCGCCUACAGAGUAUCUCAACAGGCAUGAUAGAGCUGCACAAUAUAUUCACUGGGUAAUUUGCAAAAGCCUGGACUUGCCCCAUGAUAAAAACUGGUGGAACACAAACCGCCUCCGGUGCUUGAAAAUGACCACAUCUCACUCCUCUGGAACUUCACCAUUCAAACUGACAGAACGAUAGACACGAAUAGGCCAGACAUCAUAGUAAAAGACUUCAGACAAAAAAAAACAUGCCUCCUCAUUGAUAUGACUGUCCCAGUUGAUAUAAAUGUAUGUCAAGACCUACCAGAAACUGAGCAAAUAUAAAGAUCUUGAAAUAGAAAUGAGCAAAAUGUAGAACCUGAAGACUAAAACAAUACCUGUUGUCAUAGGUGCCUUGGGAAUGACAGCAAAAAGGGCUAAUGGCUACCUAACUCAGAUACCAGGAAACCCCAAAAUGGCAGAAAUUCAAAAGAUAGUGUUCAUGGGAACUGCUCAUAUCCUACGCAAAAUACUUUCUAUGUAAUCUCAAGUUUUAAAACAAACAAUUUUCGUAUGGUUUUUUAGGCAUUCACUAGUACAACACUAACUACAAAACCAAAUAUAUGGCACCCUAGGCAUAACACCAACAUGAACUUCCAACUUGUUAUCUCUUGAGGUCUCUGGGUGAGACUUGGAGCCAGCUUGUGCAAAUGUAAAGCAAAAGUCAAAUAUAGAAUAAUAAUAAUAAUAAUAAUCCUUUUAUGGAGGUAGGAUGAAUGACUAGAAGGAAGAGGGAGUGAUAUCAUGAAGGGACCGGAAGGUGAGAUAACAUCAGGUCAGCGAGCAACAGGUUGAAGAUGACCACUUUAUUUCGGGAUCAGUGGCAAGGCAUGUCGUGUGCUGCUAGCGGUCAUGGUGUAGUAAUGCUUGCUGGUGAGGAAUCGGCAGAGUUGACACAUGAUUACAACUGUAAGAUUUGGCUGGUUUUCCCGUGAUCUGACAUUUGGAGUUAUUGUUGCCAAUUGCAACUCGAGGUAAGAGCAACUUUAUUUUGUACCUUUAAACUACACCUUUCUACUGAAGGAACAAGGCCUCAGAUUUUCGGGGAAGGGGACUAGUCGAUUGCAUCGACCCCAGUGUUUCUCUGGUACUUAAUUUAUCAACUUCGAAAGGAUGAGUGGCAAAGUUGAUCUCGGCAGAAUCUGAACUCUGAAUGUAAAGACAGGCGAAAUGCUGCGGGUGUGUUUAGUUUAAUGGCCUAUGUAUACAGAGUUCCUUUGCCCUAGGUGUCGAGAAGACACUGAUUCAAAAACAAAAUAUACAAUAAUACUAUUAUUUUCAACGCACGAAACCGCCGUAUUAAUGUGUUUAAAGAAGUAACCCAACUGGGCUUAAUUGUCUCAACAGACUCCCUUCCCUAUACGUUAACACGAGACAUUGCACCUCAACGUUAUCUUAAGAGGAAUUUAUUUAAAAUUUAACCCGUAUUACUUUCCCAUUUUUGUAAAUCCCUAAUCUUAUCUGUAAUUGUGAGCAUUUGAUAUUUCCGUUUUGUUUUCCUUUAUAGUUUCGGGUUUAUUUUCUUUCUCUAGAACAUCCAUGAGUUAAGGUAACAAACUUCAUUUUCUUUUACUUAGCUGUCAAUGUACUCUCUCUUGGAACUGGACAGGGAAGUUAAGUUUCUCGCUUCUGUGAAAAGUGAAUAAUCAAUACUUAAUACAGGUAAUUAUUGAGGCAAAUUAUUCUUUUUCUUCUAUUAAACUGCAAAAUCUUCAAGAAUAUUAAUAUCUGACGUGAUCGAAUAUCUGGCAUGAUCGAACCGUCUUUUUUUCCGCCAGGCAUACUCGUUGUUUG
rnacentral:lncRNA from 1 species